AACGCUAGCGGCAGGCCUAAUACAUGCAAGUCGAGGGGUAACAGGAAGUGCUUGCACUUCGCUGACGACCGGCGCACGGGUGAGUAUCGCGUAUACAAUCUGCCUCAUACUAGGGAAUAGCCCGAAGAAAUUUGGAUUAAUACCCUAUAGUAUCUUUUUAAGGCAUCUUAUUAAGAUUAAAGGUUACGGUAUGAGAUGAGUAUGCGUUCUAUUAGCUAGUAGGUGUGGUAACGGCACACCUAGGCUACGAUAGAUAGGGGCCCUGAGAGGGGGAUCCCCCACACUGGUACUGAGACACGGACCAGACUCCUACGGGAGGCAGCAGUAAGGAAUAUUGGUCAAUGGACGAAAGUCUGAACCAGCCAUGCCGCGUGCAGGAUGACUGCCCUAUGGGUUGUAAACUGCUUUUAUAUAGGAAGAAAAACUUUCUCGUGAGAAAGCUUGACGGUACUAUAAGAAUAAGGAUCGGC
rnacentral:rRNA from 1 species